AGUGUCUGGUGGGUAGUUUGACUGGGGCGGUCUCCUCCUAAAGCGUAACGGAGGAGCACGAAGGUUGGCUAAUCCUGGUCGGACAUCAGGAGGUUAGUGCAAUGGCAUAAGCCAGCUUGACUGCGAGCGUGACGGCGCGAGCAGGUGCGAAAGCAGGUCAUAGUGAUCCGGUGGUUCUGAAUGGAAGGGCCAUCGCUCAACGGAUAAAAGGUACUCCGGGGAUAACAGGCUGAUACCGCCCAAGAGUUCAUAUCGACGGCGGUGUUUGGCACCUCGAUGUCGGCUCAUCACAUCCUGGGGCUGAAGUAGGUCCCAAGGGUAUGGCUGUUCGCCAUUUAAAGUGGUACGCGAGCUGGGUUUAGAACGUCGUGAGACAGUUCGGUCCCUAUCUGCCGUGGGCGCUGGAGAACUGAGGGGGGCUGCUCCUAGUACGAGAGGACCGGAGUGGACGCAUCACUGGUGUUCGGGUUGUCAUGCCAAUGGCACUGCCCGGUAGCUAAAUGCGGAAGAGAUAAGUGCUGAAAGCAUCUAAGCACGAAACUUGCCCCGAGAUGAGUUCUCCCUGAGACUACAAGUCUCCUGAAGGAACGUU
rnacentral:rRNA from 1 species